CUUAAUAUGAAUCAUUACAAGAUGCAAAAGAAAACAUGGCCUGUUGUGAAAUAUUGGAUAAUGCAACAUUUAAGGACCUCUGGGGCACUUAUGGCUUGUGUGCUACGAACUGAAGACCGGCCAGACAAGAAUACACCGCUCUUUGCUUAAGUAAGUCACACUUCUUGUUUUCUUUCUAUCCAAAUGCCACAUACAUUCUCUGAUAGACAUUUCAGCUGGGUCCCAUCAUUCACAAAAACUCCCAGCAUGCAGCGGGUCAUGAUGUUUUUAGCCCUAUGCCGAGAGAGGGGCCAGCGAUCGCUCUUCCUGCCAGGACAGUUAUGUAUGUUCAGUAGGAGCAGCGGUGCUAGAGUCCAUACUGGGCUUCGUGAUUAAUGAAAGCAUUCCCCGAACCGAGUCUCCAGCGCAAAAGAAGCCCAGUGAGUUAUUGUGUGUGAAGUGAUUUUUUUAUUACCUUUUCACACAGAGCUGGGCUGUUUCAGAGAGCAACGUAAAGUCAUAUAGAUCAGGAGGAGAAGCCGCAACGCUGGCGUCUAUGAUUGAUGUAAAUGCUAACAAAUAGUAAUGUUAGUACCUGAGACCCAAAAACAAAGAGGACAGAAAGACUGAUCAGUGACUGGAGUGGGACUCUCACUGAGUUCCCAGCAGGAGAAGAGAACCAUCUAAAACCCUCAAUCUCCAUCAUCUGCACUGGCUCAUCUCUCUAUCUGCAUAAACAUCACGACAAGCACUAUUCCCUCAGCUUCACUACAUGAAACCCCAGGAACAAUCAGAUCUGAAGAAGCUAUAGCGAGUGAAGUGAAAAUAUGCGGUAUAUUGAUGUGAUCUGCUGACCCUGUGGGCAUCUGAAGCAACAUCUCCAAUGUCAAGCCAAGUCCUCCCACACGGCUCUUCCCUUCUCCUACUGGCUUUGAAGUUCAUUCUCCUCAAGCUGGAAAAUCUCAGGGCCAAGUCACCUCAAAGUUUAACACUGAAAUAUUAAAGAUACGACUUCAUAAAGCAUAAAGUAUCCUACAUGUAUAAUUAUUCUUGGGCUUGCCUUUAACCAAUAAAGACUUUGUAAACCACGUAUUUAUCUUCCAGCAACUCCAACUUCAUCCUCAGGCCAUCUAAGAUGUAAAUGAGUCUGUUGUUAUUAUCGAACAGAUUUGGAGAAAUUUAGCAUUACAUCUCUUGUUCACCAAUAGAUCCUCUGCAGUGAAUGGGUGCCGUCAGAAGGAGAGUUCAGUCUUGUGAAGUGAAAAGCUGCAUGUUUGUAAAAAAACAUAUAUAUUGCUCUACAUGGGUAUACUGUAUGUAUAUGGAUAAAAUUUGACAUACUUAAAUCCAACUAAAGAGCUGGGCGACAAUAUAGUUUUUUUUUUUUUUUUUUUUUUGUAGAUGUCAGUGGUUUAUUCUAAGCUUUUGACUGCUUUUGAAAGUUUAUUCUAAACUUUCUGGACGUUUUGGAAAUGAUGCCGUUGUUUAUUUGUGAAGGUUGCUGUGGCAGGUGAUAAGAACUCCUUACUGUCCUUGUUCCCUAAUGAGGAACAUAAUCACCUGUCGACUGACAGUGGGCUCUCGCCUCAAGCUAGACCCCUCUCAGGUGACGCUGCUGAUUUUACAGAUUUUCUCUGAAGGGGGUUAUGUAACAGAGCCUGCCGGAGCACUGUACUGUAAACACAGCUCUGCUUCUUUGAUAACCAAUGAGUUCUUUUAAUCAGGUCUGAGGAAAGAGCUUUAACACCCCCCUGUGGCUCUCAUUAUUGGGCCAGGGUGAUGGGCUAAGUAGCUAAAGUCCAAUCCCACCGAAGUCCCUUUGGGAUUUCACCCCAUGGGGUGCACAGAAUCAAGAGUCUGAUGGACUUAGUGGUAGUGCUGUUUUUUUGUGAUUAUUCUCUGGGAAACUAAAGGUCAUGUUGCACUUAAUCUAAAAGCCUAAUUUGAUACUUUUCAACAAAAAUAAAGCAGUGGCUAACUGCUCUAUCAGAUGGAUUUCAUGAACAAAAUAGGUAAAGCCACUGAAAAAAAACAAAUCUGUGUUGAAAAAAGUGUUGAAUCCUGCCACCUGCUG